AUACUAAUAGUAUAUAAAUUACUUCAAUUUUUCAUAUUGACAAUGCUUUAAAUAAGCUUAGUAUU
rnacentral:tRNA from 1 species